ACUUUUUAUUAGAAUGGUACCCUUUACAAGGGUGAGGAAUGGACUUGACAUUGGCACCACUAAUUUCGGCGCCAAUUCCAAAUUUCUGCAAAAUCUCUUCUUCUUCUUCAACGCUAUUCUGCAAAAUUGCUCCUUUCUUCUUCCAUCCAGUGCAGAAUUGUUCUCCUCCUAGAGGUUUUUCUUGUGUCAGAAAGAGUUCCAUGGCUUGGUGGGAAGGUCUCGAUGAAGCUCGUGUUCUUAUUGCAAAAGAGCCUUCUAAGGAUGGGAACAAGGUAGAGCAGCUUUUAUCGCUCCGACAUCCAAAAUCUGGAAAUGCAACAUGUUACCUUUGUGUUGAUGAAUCUCUUCAAGAACUUCACUGGUUCAAGCAAUCUUAUGGGUCUUGGUUCCUUGGGGAUUAUGUAUGUGAAGAUGGUCGUUUGUAUACUGCAACUCCAGUCGAUCCAGUUUUUGUCCUGUUGCCUAUUUUUGAUGAAGCAAGAAUGAAGAAAAAUGAUGAUCCAGGAAAGUUUAGGCAAGUGGAUGAAAUCAUUUAUGUUGUAGGCUAUCCUGGAUAUCAGCAUCUUUCUUCCAUUGCUGAGAACUGCAUGCAAGUGGUUUGUGAUGUCAAAGAUGUAGGAAUGACAAAGUUUUUCAGGCUUAAUGAUGAGAAGGUGCUAAAGUGGUUAUGCUUGAAGGUAAUACAAUUGAAGAAGACAUUGUUGACACUGGAUAAGAACUAUGCUGCUCGAGAUAAGAAAGAAAUAUUAACUGAUGCAGUAUCUAUAGUUGGAGAGUACUUGAAGGAAGAGCCUUGGUUGAAGCUCCUCUGCAGCAAAUUAAGCAUAGACUUGCAAGAGGACACAAAAGCAUCAAAUUCUGAAAUGCAUUCAUCACCAAUGGAUUAUAGUUUCGAGUCCUUCAAUCACGAACAGCAGGAGGGAAAGAGUGAAGGUCAGGAGAAGACUACCAGGAACAAAAGACAGACUAAAAAGAUCAAAGUGGAAACCAACUCUCUUAAUAUCAAAGACAUGUUUAGUAGGGCUACUAGGCGGGGAAAAUGAAGAGUACAAAGCAGCAGAGAUAAGAGGCUUCUCGGAGCAAGGUAUUACGAUUUGAAUGAAUCAGAUGGCUUAGUCUCUUAGAUUUGGUGUCGCUGUUGCUGCUGUAAACAGACGGUACAACAUGGCUCAAGGCCAUAUGUGUAUCCAUCAUGCAAGCUGGUAAUAAAGAGGUAGAAGAAGAAGACCUUUUAGUUAAGGAUAAUCCUCAUUUCUAUGUUCCAACAAUAGAGGUCAUGGAUUAUUAUUCAAAACCUCUAACUCAUGAUCUAUACACAAUGCCCUCUCCAAGAUUAUUUCACACUCAUUUACCUUAUAGAGUUUUGCCAGAUUCAAUCAAAAAUUCGAAUAAUUGCAAGAUUAUAUACAUAACAAGAAAUCCUAAAGAUACCUUAAUUUCUAUGUGGCAUUUCAUCAAUAGUCGUAACCGUUUAGAAGAUCUCUCACCUUUAGAAGAAGUUGUGGAGCACUUUUGCAAAGGUGAACAUCUGUAUGGACCUUUUUUUGAACAUGUUCUUGAAUACUGGGAAGAAAGUAAAAAAGAGCCUCAAAAAAUAUUAUUCUUGAAGUAUGAGGACUUGAAGAUAGACACUAAGAAAGAGGUGGCAAAAAUAGCCUUGUUUCUUGGAAAACCUUUUGGUAAUGAAGAGGAUUUGGAGAUAGUUUUGAACAAGUGUAGCUUGGAGAGGCUUAAGAACUUGGAGGUUAAUAAGAGUGGAUCAAUCGUCUCUAAUUUUCACAAUAGUGCAUUUUUCAGAAAAGGGAUUGUUGGGGAUUGGAAGAAUUACAUGAAACCUGAAAUGGAAGAGCAAAUUGACAAGAUUACCAAAUUGAAGCUUCAAGGGAGUGGCCUUGAACUCUGAUACUUGUACCCAAGAAGUUUUUAAAACACACUUGAACUACUUGACGUGAAUUAUUAGUAUCAUUUUUGAAUUAUCGAUAGUUUUAAAAACGUCCAUCUAUUUGGCUAAUUCAACUUAAGUACACCUCGAUCUGCCACACAGCAUAGCAACUGGUCUCAAAUUCUUAUACGAGUGUGUUGAAAACAACCUUAAAUUCUUGAUGUUUUUCACCCAUGUGGCAAAGAUGGGAUGUGUAUUUAAGUUUUAGUUACUCAAGUAGCAACAGGUGUUUUCAAAGCUGUCAAUAAUUCGGGAACGAAACUAAUAAUUCACGUCAAAUUUAAGUGUGUUUUUAAUACUUCUUUCUUAUAAUUUCUACUUUAACAAGCUUUCUAUUACUUCAUCCGAAUGGAUAAUAAGUCAAGGUUGUUGAAAAUAAUAAAGUUAAAUGUUUUUAACCAUCUU